rnacentral:rRNA from 1 species
UACGUAGGAGACGAGCGUUGUCCGGAGUUACUGGGCGUAAAGGGUGCGCAGGUGGCGGCGCGCGUGGGGGGUGAAAUCGCCCGGCUUAACUGGGCGGGGGCCUUCCAGACGGCGUGGCUUGAGCAGCGGAGGGGGACGUGGAAUUCCGGGUGGAGCGGUGAAAUGCGUAGAGAUCCGGAGGAACACCGACGGCGCAGGCAGCGUCCUGGCCGCUUGCUGACACUGAGGCACGAAAGCGUGGGGAGCGAACAGG